AGCUCCAAUAGCGUAUAUUAAAGUUGUUGCAGUUAAAAAGCUCGUAGUUGAACUUCUGGCUAUUCUUCCAGCUGGCUUCGGUCGCUGUAAGAGUGGUCAUCCGCUUGGGAACUACGUUCGAACUUCACUGUUCGGCGUAAGGAACAGGCAUUUUACUUAGAAAAAAUUAGAGUGUUCAAGGCAGGCUAUCGCCCUGAAUACACAAGCUUGGAAUAAUGAAAUAGGACUAUUUCCAUUUUAUUGGUUAUUGGAAUUAGUAAUGAUUAAUAGGGACAGUUGGGGACAUUAGUAUUUAAUUGUCAGAGGUGAAAUUCUUGGAUUUAUUAAAGACUAACUUAUGCGAAAGCAUUUGUCAAGGAUGUUU
rnacentral:rRNA from 1 species